UUCCUGGUGGCUCAGUCGGUAAGGCGUCUGCCUGCAAUGCAGGAGACCCAGGUUCCUGGGUCGGGAAG
rnacentral:tRNA from 1 species